GGGGCAGUUCCAUCAUUUAAGAUUAAAGAAUGGCUUGUGAUAGUUCUUCUUUUUUUGGACGCAUUGUCUGUAUCACGUAUCCCUCGGAUUGCACCUUAUAUAUCUAACAGAGACAAGAUUUUGGAAGGAAGUGGAAUAGGAAACGAAGAGUAUGAGACAAUGAAGGAUAUCCUGUUACCACUAGGCCGCGUUCCUCAGUUUGCUACCCGAAGCGGAGCGUAGACAAAGCCACCGUUUGGUAGAAGAAAUCAACUUAAGAAAUAUGAAAAUAGAGGAGUAUAAUUUUGAAGCCAUUUGAUGUUGAGUAAGAUCUUCAAGUCACUUAGAACAAAGAUUUGUCGCAUUUCAAUUUUAUAAAUGGUUUACAGACUUUGUGCUGUUCCUUUUGUAAAAAUUUGUUAUAUAAAAAACAUCACUUACUCUUCUUCUUGUA